rnacentral:rRNA from 1 species
UACGGGGGGGGCAAGCGUUGUUCGGAAUUACUGGGCGUAAAGGGCUCGUAGGUGGCCAACUAAGUCAGACGUGAAAUCCCUCGGCUUAACCGGGGAACUGCGUCUGAUACUGGAUGGCUUGAGUUCGGGAGAGGGAUGCGGAAUUCCAGGUGUAGCGGUGAAAUGCGUAGAUAUCUGGAGGAACACCGGUGGCGAAGGCGGCAUCCUGGCCCACAACUGACGCUGAGGCACGAAAGCGUGGGGAGCAAACAGG